AUUGAACGCUGGCGGCAGGCCUAACACAUGCCAGUCGAGCGGAUGAAGGGAGCUUGCUCCUGGAUUCAGCGGCGGACGGGUGAGUAAUGCCUAGGAAUCUGCCUGGUAGUGGGGGAUAACGUCCGGAAACGGGCGCUAAUACCGCACACGUCCUGAGGGAGAAAGUGGGGGAUCUUCGGACCUCACGCUAUCAGAUGAGCCUAGGUCGGAUUAGCUAGUUGGUGGGGUAAGGCCUACCAAGGCGACGAUCCGUAACUGGUCUGAGAGGAUGAUCAGUCACACUGGAACUGAGACACGGUCCAGACUCCUACGGGAGGCAGCAGUGGGGAAUAUUGGACAAUGGGCGAAAGCCUGAUCCAGCCAUGCCGCGUGUGUGAAGAAGGUCUUCGGAUUGUAAAGCACUUUAAGUUGGGAGGAAGGGCAGUAAGUUAAUACCUUGCUGUUUUGACGUUACCAACAGAAUAAGCACCGGCUAACUUCGUG
rnacentral:rRNA from 1 species